UGGGGAAUUUUGGACAAUGGGCGCAAGCCUGAUCCAGCCAUGCCGCGUGCAGGAUGAAGGCCUUCGGGUUGUAAACUGCUUUUGUACGGAACGAAAAGGUGCCUUCUAAUAAAGGGCGCUCAUGACGGUACCGUAAGAAUAAGCACCGGCUAACUACGUGCCAGCAGCCGCGGUAAUACGUAGGGUGCGAGCGUUAAUCGGAAUUACUGGGCGUAAAGCGUGCGCAGGCGGUUUUGUAAGACAGAGGUGAAAUCCCCGGGCUCAACCUGGGAACUGCCUUUGUGACUGCAAGGCUGGAGUGCGGCAGAGGGGGAUGGAAUUCCGCGUGUAGCAGUGAAAUGCGUAGAUAUGCGGAGGAACACCGAUGGCGAAGGCAAUCCCCUGGGCCUGCACUGACGCUCAUGCACGAAAGCGUGGGGAGCAAAC
rnacentral:rRNA from 1 species